rnacentral:lncRNA from 1 species
GAUGCCUCAAUGCAUCAUCUUUUGUUCACUUCUCUCCAUUCCAUCUCAUGUCCUUUGAUGUCAUUGCUGACAUAAAUAAUUUUUGUAGUCUCGAUAUCAAAAAAAGUACCACAUCAACUUUUAAGGAACAUGGAUCGAUGUGCCAUCUUUAUUCUAUUUCCAUCUUGAUACACUGCAUCUUGUAUACUCGUUUCGAUUGGCAUCCCCCUCCCAAUAGAGCAUGCAAUCAUGGAGACAUGCAUGUAUCUUAUUAUAAGUAAAGCCCAACUAUUUAAUAAUCUUUGAUGCCUCAUAAUUAUUUUUUAAAAUUUGUGCAUUAUCUGAAAGAAUGUUCCCCAAA